rnacentral:rRNA from 1 species
GAUGAACGCUGGCGGCGUGCUUAACACAUGCAAGUCGAACGAUGAAGCCCAGCUUGCUGGGUGGAUUAGUGGAGAACGGGUGAGUAACACGUGAGUAACCUGCCCUUAACUCUGGGAUAAGCCUGGGAAACUGGGUCUAAUACCGGAUAGGAGCGUCCACCGCAUGGUGGGUGUUGGAAAGAUUUAUCGGUUUUGGAUGGACUCGCGGCCUAUCAGCUUGUUGGUGAGGUAAUGGCUCACCAAGGCGACGACGGGUAGCCGGCCUGAGAGGGUGACCGGCCACACUGGGACUGAGACACGGCCCAGACUCCAACGGGAGGCAGCAGUGGGGAAUAUUGCACAAUGGGCGCAAGCCUGAUGCAGCGACGCCGCGUGAGGGAUGACGGCCUUCGGGUUGUAAACCUCUUUCAGUAGGGAAGAAGCGAAAGUGACGGUACCUGCAGAAGAAGCACCGGCUAACUACGUG